UCCACCGAUUGACUAAGGUUUCCAGAGGAAGGCUCGUCCGCUCUGGGUUAGUCGGGUCCUAAGCUGAGGCCGACAGGCGUAGGCGAUGGAUAACAGGUUGAUAUUCCUGUACCACCUAUAAUCGUUUUAAUCGAUGGGGGGACGCAGUAGGAUAGGCGAAGCGUGCGAUUGGAUUGCACGUCUAAGCAGUAAGGCUGAGUAUUAGGCAAAUCCGGUACUCGUUAAGGCUGAGCUGUGAUGGGGAGAAGACAUUGUGUCUUCGAGUCGUUGAUUUCACACUGCCGAGAAAAGCCUCUAGAUAGAAAAUAGGUGCCCGUACCGCAAACCGACACAGGUAGUCAAGAUGAGAAUUCUAAGGUGAGCGAGCGAACUCUCGUUAAGGAACUCGGCAAAAUGACCCC
rnacentral:rRNA from 1 species